rnacentral:rRNA from 1 species
GAUGAACGCUGGCGGCGUGCCUAAUACAUGCAAGUCGAGCGAACAGAUGAGGAUCUUGCUCCUCUUACGUUAGCGGCGGACGGGUGAGUAAUACGUGGAUAACCUACCUAUAAGACUGAGAUAACUUCGGGAGACCGGAUCUAAUACCGGAUAAUAUAUUGAACGGCAUGGUUCAUUAGAGAAAGACGGUUUUGCUGACACUUAUAGAGGGAUCCUCGUCGCAUUAGCUAGUUGGUAAGGUAACGGCCUACCAAGGCAACGAUGCGUAGCCGACCUGAGAGGGUGAUCAGCCACACUGGAACUGAGACACGGUCCAGACUCCUACGGGAGGCAGCAGUAGGGAAUCUUCCGCAAUGGGCGAAAGCCUGACGGAGCAACGCCGCGUGAGUGAUGAAGGUCUUCGGAUCGUAAAACUCUGUUAUUAGGGAAGAACAACAGUGUAAGUAACUAUGCACGUCUUGACGGUACCUAAUCAGAAAGCCCCGGCUAACUACGUG